rnacentral:rRNA from 1 species
GAACGAACGCUGGCGGCGCGCCUAAUACAUGCAAGUCGAGCGAGAAGACGUAGCAAUACGUUUGUAAAGCGGCGAACGGGUGAGGAAUACAUGGGUAACCUACCCUCGAGUGGGGAAUAACUAGCCGAAAGGUUAGCUAAUACCGCGUACGCUCCUUGGACUUCGGUUCAGGGAGGAAAGCGAUACCGUGGGUAUCGCGCUCUUGGAUGGGCUCAUGUCCUAUCAGCUUGUUGGUGAGGUAACGGCUCACCAAGGCUUCGACGGGUAGCUGGUCUGAGAGGACAAUCAGCCACACUGGCACUGCGACACGGGCCAGACUCCUACGGGAGGCAGCAGUAAGGAAUAUUGCGCAAUGGGCGAAAGCCUGACGCAGCGACGCCGCGG